rnacentral:rRNA from 1 species
CAUUAAAGAGUUAUGGGGGCUUCUGCCCACCAACUCCACCCUUUGUUUACAUAUCAUUGUUGCUUUGGCAGGCCUGUCGAGAGACUACCGGCUUCGGCUGGUUAGUGUCUGCCAGAGAACCAAAACUCUUGUUUAAUCAUAUUGUCUGAGUACUAUAUAAUAGUUAAAACUUUCAACAACGGAUCUCUUGGUUCUGGCAUCGAUGAAGAACGCAGCGAAAUGCGAUAAGUAAUGUGAAUUGCAGAAUUCAGUGAAUCAUCGAAUCUUUGAACGCACAUUGCGCCCCUUGGCAUUCCGAGGGGCAUGCCUGUUCGAGCGUCAUUACAACCCUCAAGCUCUGCUUGGUAUUGGGCCUCGUCUCCCCGCGGACGUGCCUCAAAAUCAUCGGCGGUGGCGUCUUGCCUCAAGCGUAGUAAAAUUCUUCUCGCUUUGGAGGUUGGGGCGCCCCCCGCCGGACGAACCUUUUUACUUCUAUCAAAGGUUGACCUCGGAUCAGGUAGGGAUACCC